GACGAACGCUGGCGGCGUGCCUAAUACAUGCAAGUCGAGCGAGUCUGCCUUGAAGAUCGGAGUGCUCGCACUCUGUGAAACAAGAUACAGGCUAGCGGCGGACGGGUGAGUAACACGUGGGUAACCUGCCCAAGAGAUCGGGAUAACACCUGGAAACAGAUGCUAAUACCGGAUAACAACAGAUGAUGCCUAUCAACUGUUUAAAAGAUGGUUCUGCUAUCACUCUUGGAUGGACCUGCGGUGCAUUAGCUAGUUGGUAGGGUAACGGCCUACCAAGGCGAUGAUGCAUAGCCGAGUUGAGAGACUGAUCGGCCACAUUGGGACUGAGACACGGCCCAAGCUCCUACGGGAGGCAGCAGUAGGGAAUCUUCCACAAUGGACGCAAGUCUGAUGGAGCAACGCCGCGUGAGUGAAGAAGGGUUUCGGCUCGUAAAGCUCUGUUGUUGGUGAAGAAGGACAGGGGUAGUAACUGACCUUUGUUUGACGGUAAUCAAUUAGAAAGUCACGGCUAACUAAGUG
rnacentral:rRNA from 1 species